UACGGAGGGGGCUAGCGUUGUUCGGAAUUACUGGGCGUAAAGCGCACGUAGGCGGCUUUGUAAGUUAGAGGUGAAAGCCCGGGGCUCAACUCCGGAAUUGCCUUUAAGACUGCAUCGCUCGAAUUGUGGAGAGGUAAGUGGAAUUCCGAGUGUAGAGAUGAAAUUCGUAGAUAUUCGGAAGAACACCAGUGGCGAAGGCGACUUACUGGACACAUAUUGACGCUGAGGUGCGAAAGCGUGGGGAGCAAACAGG
rnacentral:rRNA from 1 species